GUUGGUGGCUAGAGCCGUGAGGGUACACCCGGACCCAUUCCGAACCCGGAAGUUAAGCUCACGAGCGCGGAUGGUACUGCUUUGGUAACGAAGUGGGAGAGUACGCCGCUGCCAACC
rnacentral:rRNA from 1 species